rnacentral:lncRNA from 1 species
GCAUUAGCUCUUUCUGCCUCCCACGCAGCCUUAUUUUUUUUAUUGUUGUUUUCUUGUUGCUGUUGUUGUUGUUCUCGGAGACGGAGUCUUGCUCUUGCUCUGUCGUCGCCCACGAUAGAGUACAGUGGCGUGAUCUCUGCUCACUGCAACCUCCGCCUCCUGGGUUCAAACAAUUCUGCCUCAGCCUCCGGAGUAGCUGGGAUUACAGGCGCGCGCCACUAUGCCCGGCUAAUUUUUGUGUUUUUAGUAAAGACGGGGUUUCACCAUGUCGGCCAGGCUGUUCUCGAACUCCUGACCUCGUGAUCCCUCCGUCUCGGCUUCCCAAAGUGCUGGGAUUACGGGCGUGAGCCACCGUGCCCGGCCGCAGCCUUGUUUUGACUGAGUCAGUGGGAGCCAUUACUGUUCCUAAAUGUAAACUGGCGUGACAGGAGUUCCGGGAUUGUCCACAGCACGGUGAUGUGGAAGCCCUGGGGAGAGAAUGAUAAAGAAAGGGGAUGAGGAACAGCUCCACCCGGAAGAGCGGGCUUCCCUAGCAAAUGAAUCUGGAAGGGCGCAGGGGAGGGGGCACGGCGAGUUCAGAUGGACCGAGGCUGGAAGCUGACGCGGUUGGAGGGGGAUGGGUGUAGCUGUUGGCAGUGGCGCUGGGGUGGAAGUGUGUGGGGUCACAGAUGUGUAAGGGUGGGCGCGGAGCAGACCCCCGAAGGUCCCUGAGGUCAGGCUGAGGCAUUGGACCAAAUCCGUACAUAGGCAUUUCUCUGAACUGCGCGCCACCUUUUGAGUGCCAUCUGUUUCCGUCCAGGACUCUGAUACAACUAUCCAGUCCGCUGCAGGGACCGGUCACUGUGUCACAGGUUCUCCAGAGGGCCAGAACUAACAGGAUAUAUGUAUAUAUUGAAAGGGAGUAUAUUAGGGAGAACUGGCUGACAGGAUCAUCAGGCAAAGUCCCACUAUAGUCCAUCUGCAAGCUGAGGAAGGAAGAAGCCAGUCACGUCUCAAAGUCCAAAAGCCUCAAAAGUAGGGAAGCCAACGGCGCAGCCUUCAGUCUGUGGCGGAAGGCCUAAGAGUCCCCGACAAACCACUGGUGGAAGUUCAAGAGUCCAAAGGCCAAAGAACCUGGAGUCUAAUCUCCAAAGACAGGAAGUAUCCAGCACAGGAGAAAGAUGAAAGCCAGAAGACUCAGCAAGCCAGCCCCUCCCACCUUCUGCGCUGACUGGAUGGUGCCCACCCACACUGAGAGUGGGUCUCCCUCUCCCCGUCCACUCACUCAAGUGUCAGCCUCCCUGGCAACACCCUCACAGACACACCCAGAAACAAUCCUUUUUUUUUUUUUUUUUUUUUUUUUUUUUUUUUUUUUUUUUGAGACCGAGUCUCACUCUGUCACCCAGGUUGGAGUGCAGUGGCACCAUCUCGGCUCACUCCAACCUCCGCCUCCCGGGUUCAAGCAAUUCUUCUGCCUCAGCCUCCCGAGUAGCUGGGACUACAGGCACGUGCCAUCAUGCUGGCUAAUUUUUGUAUUUUUAGUACAGACAGGGUUUCACCAUAUUGGCCAGGCUGGUCUCAAAUUCCUGCCCGUCUUGGCCUCCCAAAGUGCUGGGAUUACAGGUGUAAGCCACCAUGCCUGGCCCCUUUUCCUAUUUUUUAAUCAGAUUGUUUUCCUGUUAACUGAGUUUUAAGAGCCCUUUGUAAAUCUUGGAUAGCAGUCCUUCAUGAGAUAGGUCUCUUGCAAAUAGUUUCUCCCAGGCUGCAGCUUUUCUCAUUAUAUUAAAAAUGUUUUUCAAAGAGCA